rnacentral:RNase_P_RNA from 1 species
UGACUUUAUUAUAUGAUCGCGGUGCGUGAGAGCGCAAUGAGGAAAGUCCGAGCAUCACAGAGCAGGAUAGCUGAUAACGUCAGCCGAGGGCGACCUUAGGGCAAGUGCAACAGAGAUAUACCGCCUGCUUGCUUUCGCAAGCGGUAAGGAUGGAAAGGCGAGGUAAGAGCUCACCGGAGUGCGCGAGAGCGUACUGCCAUGUAAACCCUAUCCGAUGCAACACCGAUUGGUGCGGGGAAUAACGCGUCUGCUCGGCGCGCCCCGUUGAAAGGUGGCUUGACCCCGUCGGCGACGGCGGGGCUAGAUAGAUGAUCAUACACGACAGAACUCGGCUUACCGAUAGAGUCACGCC